rnacentral:rRNA from 1 species
CCUACGGGUGGCAGCAGUGAGGAAUAUUGGUCAAUGGACGAGAGUCUGAACCAGCCAAGUAGCGUGAAGGAUGACUGCCCUACGGGUUGUAAACUUCUUUUAUAUGGGAAUAAAAUGUUCCACGUGUGGGAUUUUGUAUGUACCAUAUGAAUAAGGAUCGGCUAACUCCGUGCCAGCAGCCGCGGUAAUACGGAGGAUCCGAGCGUUAUCCGGAUUUAUUGGGUUUAAAGGGAGCGUAGGUGGGUUGUUAAGUCAGUUGUGAAAGUUUGCGGCUCAACCGUAAAAUUGCAAUUGAUACUGGCAGUCUUGAGUACAGUAGAGGUGGGCGGAAUUCGUGGUGUAGCGGUGAAAUGCUUAGAUAUCACGAAGAACUCCGAUUGCGAAGGCAGUUCACUGAACUGCAACUGACACUGAGGCUCGAAAGUGUGGGUAUCAAACAGGAUUAGAUACCCCGGUAGUC